AUGGACCUGAGUCUCCUGAUCCAGCCUCACUCUAUGUAAUAGCUCAGGUUAAAAUGCAUAGAGAGGGGAGUGCCUGGACCCAUCCCAAUCCCAGACCUACCAAGGACCAAGGACCUCCUGGAGGCAGUGGCAGGGGGCCCCCAACCAGACCCCCACCCUCUGGCCCAUUCUACCACCCACAGCCGGCCAGUCUCCUCCUCCCAGCCCCUCUGCCUUCAUGUCAGGACAGGAAAAAAGGUCAGAAAGAAGAUGCCAGCCUCCCACAGGAAAAACAACAGGCCCGGAAGCCUGGGAGAACUUGCUGGAAUCUACACCAAGCAUGUCCAGACUGGGGCCCUGAGUCCGUGGGUGUGUCCGGGGGACCUAGGCUUCUGCGUCCUCCUUCAGCCCUCAAGCAGUCCCAGAAGGCGGCCUGGGAGAGGAACACAGAGAGGUUAUGUAACUCACCCACAGCCGCACAGACAGGAAGAACCGGGCCAGGCUCUGGAGUCCAUGCACUCAAGGAGCCUCGCUGUGGCCUCUCCCUGCCUCACCCCAGGUCUCUGCCCUGCACAAGGGUCUCCAGCUAUAGAGUACCACCAUGCACAAGACAGAUAAGGUCCCCAGAAGUCCUCAGAGACCAUCAACCUAGUAAACAAGAUAAUUUCAGGGCUGGGCAGGGAACACACGGAGCUGAGCCAGUGCAGGAGGGCGACAAAGUGGGGUGGUCAGGCCGCUGUCCACCUGGGGCCUGGUGGUCAGGAAGGGUCUGUGUUUUAAGAAGUUACAUUUGGGGGCUGAGGCUAUGGUUCAAGCAAGGCCCUGGCUCAGUCCCCAAUACCACAGGAUGAAAGUGAAAAGAAAGUAGAUUUGAGCUGAAACAUGGAAGAACACCAAGCAGAAGAGCCCGGGGAAAAGGAGUUCCAGACAGAAGGCACAGCACGUGGAAAGGCCCUGGGGCAGGAAGAACAGGUCAGGUUUGAGAAGACAGGCAGAGAGAGAAGUUGGUCUUUCUUGGCUAAUCGGUGUUUCCAGGCCCCUGGAGCAAAGCUGAACACAUCACCUUGCAGGUCUCCAACAGCCUUCAGCAUGAAGAUUGAAUCCUAGUGAUGUCAUAGUUCUUGGACAUUAGUCAGCCUAAAACUCAGGUCUGCGACCCUGACGCCCUCCCUCCACUCCCCCAUCACUGACACUGAGUCAUCUUGAACAGCUCAACCCAGCUUCUGCGGAUCAAGGUCCAAAUGUACGUGGUGCUUACCUAAGACAGCCCA